AUAAUUUUAUUAAAAGUCUAGCAUUUUAACAUGAAAUUAUUUCAUUCUUCUUUUAAAUAUAUUCAAUGGAAUACAAAUACCAUCAUCAUUUGAAACCUACCAUCAUCCAUUUAAAAAUAUACAAACCGUACUCUCCUUUAGUCAGAAAUUUUACAUGAUUCUUUUUUUUCUCUAAAAUCAUACUUCCAAUUUAAUUUCCCCACAAAAUUUAAUCCUGUCUCAAUUACCCUUUUGUUGCCUCUCAUCUCCAAAGUCAUACUUCAUUGGUUUUGUGAAAAUGGAUCUGGAUCCUUUAAAUAUCUUUUCUUUGCCAACUGGCAUAAUGCUGAUUUGUUCAUAGAAGGUGUUGGAGAGAUAUUCCAGGAGGAAGGAAUGGGUAUGUCUUCCUGGGUCUAACGUGGUUUUCUCCAAUGCUAGGCAAAGCGCAGCUUUUUUUAGCUCUUCAUGAAGGCAGUAGUGCUAUAGCUGGGAGCCUCAGACAAUGUGGCUCUGAGUCUUAGCCCAUUCUGCUGCUCCUCAUACCCUAUCCUCAGCGCCUCAUGCGUACUUGCUGGGGCCCUGCAGUGAUGGCCAUUUAGCAAGCCAGCCAACUGACCUUUGCUCUGCACCAAAGCCCAGAGCUUUCCAAGCCCAAGCUAUACACAGAAGUGUGUUAGGUUUCGACAGAGGGCAGUCUGUUUAUCUCCUGGUUUCAGCAAUGCCCACAGUGGUGCCACAACUCUCUCCAUGUCCCCCACCUCCAUCAACUCUGGCUCUCCUGUGUGCAAAAGGUUUUUUCCCCACAGCCCUCCUGUCAUGAACAUCGUGUGCUCCAGGCCUUAUCGGGCCUACCAGCCUUGGCUUGCCAAUGCCCCAAAGGGUUGUUCUUGUUUUCCCAGCAAUUAUGGACCAAUUCUGGCUUCAAAUAAAAUAAAAUUUCUUUCUUGUCCAGUGGGCUACAACCACACCUUCUUCAAAGAGGUCUUCAAAUAGGUGACCAGGUUUGUCUUUCUUUUGGGCUCUCCCUCAACUUUAGGGUACCCUUAGAGUUCUCAUUCACAGCUUAAAAAUUUUUUAUAUUAAAUUUCCCCUAUUUAAAUUACUGUGCAGUUUCUCUCUUGGUUGAACCCAGAUUGAUGCAAAUCC
rnacentral:lncRNA from 1 species